rnacentral:rRNA from 1 species
GUGGGGAAUAUUGGACAAUGGGCGAAAGCCUGAUCCAGCCAUGCCGCGUGUGUGAAGAAGGUCUUCGGAUUGUAAAGCACUUUAAGUUGGGAGGAAGGGCAGUAAGUUAAUACCUUGCUGUUUUGACGUUACCGACAGAAUAAGCACCGGCUAACUUCGUGCCAGCAGCAGCGGUAAUACGAAGGGUGCAAGCGUUAAUCGGAAUUACUGGGCGUAAAGCGCGCGUAGGUGGUUUUGUAAGUUGGAGGUGAAAUCCUCGGGCUCAACCUGGAAACUGCCUCCAAAACUGCAUGACUAGAGUACGGUAGAGGGUAGUGGAAUUUCCUGUGUAGCGGUGAAAUGCGUAGAUAUAGGAAGGAACACCAGUGGCGAAGGCGACUACCUGGACUGAUACUGACACUGAGGUGCGAAAGCGUGGGGAGCAAACAGGAUUAGAUACCCGUGUAGUCC